UGCAACGCGAAAACCUUAACCUACCCUUCGUACACUGUCCGGAAGUACCUCGCAGAGAUGCGGGAGUGCCCGAAAGGGAAUCGGAACACAGGUGCUGCAUGGCUGUCGUCAGCUCGUGUCGUGAGAUGUUGGGUUAAGUCCCGCAACGAGCGCAACCCUUAUCAUUAGUUGCUACGCAAGGGCACUCUAAUGAGACUGCCGGUGACAAACCGGAGGAAGUGGGGAUGACGUCAAGUCCUCAUGGCCCUUAUGGGUAGGGCUUCACACGUCAUACAAUGGUCGGUACAGAGGGUUGCCAAGCCGCGAGGUGGAGCCAAUCCCAGAAAGCCGAUCGUAGUCCGGAUUGUUCUCUGCAACUCGAGAGCAUGAAGUCGGAAUCGCUAGUAAUCGCGGAUCAGCAUGUCGCGGUGAAUACGUUCCCGGGUCUU
rnacentral:rRNA from 1 species